UGGGGAAUUUUGGACAAUGGGUGAGAGCCUGAUCCAGCCAUGCCGCGUGCAGGAAGAAGGCGUUAUGCGUUGUAAACUGCUUUUGCCAGGGGAUAAAAAGACCGUGCGCGGUUAAUUGAAGGUACCUGGUGAAUAAGCCACGGCUAACUACGUGCCAGCAGCCGCGGUAAUACGUAGGUGGCAAGCGUUGUCCGGAUUUAUUGGGUUUAAAGGGUGCGUAGGUGGCCCUGUAAGUCAGUGGUGAAAUAUCUCAGCUUAACUGAGAGGGUGCCAUUGAUACUGCAGGGCUUGAGUACAGAUGAGGUAGGCGGAAUUGACGGUGUAGCGGUGAAAUGCAUAGAUAUCGUCAAGAACACCGAUAGCGAAGGCAGCUUACCAAGCUGUAACUGACACUGAGGCACGAAAGUGUGGGGAUCAAACAGGAUUAGAUACCCAAGUAGUCCCUGAGCGGGCUGGCAAGGCGCAU
rnacentral:rRNA from 1 species